rnacentral:rRNA from 1 species
GGACCCGCACAAGCGGUGGAGCAUGUGGUUUAAUUCGAUGAUACGCGAGGAACCUUACCAGGGCUUAAAUGUAGUGGGACAGGUCUAGAGAUAGACCCUUCUUCGGACUCAUUACAAGGUGCUGCAUGGUUGUCGUCAGCUCGUGCCGUGAGGUGUCAGGUUAAGUCCUAUAACGAGCGCAACCCCUAUCGUUAGUUGCCAGCGAGUAAUGUCGGGAACUCUAACGAAACUGCCAGUGCAAACUGUGAGGAAGGUGGGGAUGACGUCAAAUCAUCACGGCCCUUACGUUCUGGCUACACACGUGCUACAAUGGUCGGUACAGAAAGCAGCCACUAUGCGAAUAGGAG